rnacentral:rRNA from 1 species
UACGGAGGAUCCGAGCGUUAUCCGGAUUUAUUGGGUUUAAAGGGUGCGUAGGCGGCCUUGUAAGUCAGGGGUGAAAGACGGUAGCUUAACUAUCGCAGUGCCUUUGAUGCUGCAGGGCUUGAAUGUACUUGAGGUAGGCGGAAUGUGACAAGUAGCGGUGAAAUGCAUAGAUAUGUCACAGAACACCAAUUGCGAAGGCAGCUUACUAAAGUAUGAUUGACGCUGAGGCACGAAAGCGUGGGGAUCAAACAGG